GACAGAGGGUGCGAACGUUGCUCGGAAUUACUGGGCGUAAAGCGCGUGUAGGCGGUUUCGCAAGUUCGGUGUGAAAGCCCGGGGCUCAACCCCGGAAGGGCGCUGAAUACUACGGAGCUGGAGUCCUGAAGAGGCAAGCGGAAUUCCCGGUGUAGAGGUGAAAUUCGUAGAUAUCGGGAGGAACACCGGUGGCGAAGGCGGCUUGCUGGGCAGAGACUGACGCUGAGACGCGAAAGCGUGGGUAGCAAACAGGAUUAGAAACCCCCGUAGUCC
rnacentral:rRNA from 1 species